AUGAACAACCACAUGACCAGCAUCCGCAUGGUUGCGCUUCUUCUCACCGUAUGCCUCCUCCUCGCCACCAAUGCACGAUGCCAGAUCAUCGACGGCGGAGGCGACGAGAAGAUUAGUUUGCCCAAUGGGCUGUGCGCCUACAAGAAAGACUCGUCAUUCUGCAAACUCGACAUACCAUUGUGCUACUGCUGCUUGGCAGGUGAUGAAUAUUGCUACGCGACGAUGAAGAUAUGCAAGAAGGAGUGCCCCUUGGCUCCGGCACCCGAAGCAGCCUCUCCUUGA
rnacentral:rRNA from 1 species